ACACUCCUACGGGGGCAGCAGUGGGGAAUUUUGGACAAUGGGCGAAAGCCUGAUCCAGCAAUGCCGCGUGAGUGAAGAAGGCCUUCGGGUUGUAAAGCUCUUUUGUCAGGGAAGAAACGGUGAGAGCUAAUAUCUCUUGCUAAUGACGGUACCUGAAGAAUAAGCACCGGCUAACUACGUGCCAGCAGCCGCGGUAAUACGUAGGGUGCAAGCGUUAAUCGGAAUUACUGGGCGUAAAGCGUGCGCAGGCGGUUUUGUAAGUCUGAUGUGAAAUCCCCGGGCUCAACCUGGGAAUUGCAUUGGAGACUGCAAGGCUAGAAUCUGGCAGAGGGGGGUAGAAUUCCACGUGUAGCAGUGAAAUGCGUAGAUAUGUGGAGGAACACCGAUGGCGAAGGCAGCCCCCUGGGUCAAGAUUGACGCUCAUGCACGAAAGCGUGGGGAGCAAACAGGAUUAGAAACCCCAGUAGUCCCAUGA
rnacentral:rRNA from 1 species